GCUAGCCGUCGAAGGUGGGACAAAUGAUUGGGGUGAAGUCGUAACAAGGUAGCCGUAUCGGAAGGUGCGGCUGGAUCACCUCCUUU
rnacentral:rRNA from 4 species